rnacentral:rRNA from 1 species
AACGAACGCUGGCGGCAUGCCUAACACAUGCAAGUCGAACGGUGCCUUCGGGCACAGUGGCGCACGGGUGAGUAACACGUGGGAACCUGCCUUUCGGUUCGGAACAACGUCUGGAAACGGACGCUAACGCCGGAUACGCCCAUCCAGCGAUGGUUGGGGAAAGUUUACGCCGAGAGAGGGGCCCGCGCCGGAUUAGGUAGUUGGUGGGGUAACGGCCUACCAAGCCGACGAUCCGUAGCUGGUCUGAGAGGAUGAUCAGCCACACUGGGACUGAGACACGGCCCAGACUCCUACGGGAGGCAGCAGUGGGGAAUAUUGGACAAUGGGCGCAAGCCUGAUCCAGCAAUGCCGCGUGAGUGAUGAAGGCCUUAGGGUUGUAAAGCUCUUUCGCACGCGACGAUGAUGACGGUAGCGUGAGAAGAAGCCCCGGCUAACUUCGUGCCAGCAGCCGCGGUAAGUACGCAGCGA